ACCCCGCUGGCUCAGUCGGUAGAGCAUGCGACUCUUGAUCUCAGGGCUGCGAGCUCGAGCCCCAUGUUGGGUG
rnacentral:tRNA from 1 species